CAGGAAUCUAACAAAGGUAAUCACCGAGUUAGUGAUGUAGAGAUGAAAACACACCUCCCCUUCAGCUUUAAGCUGGAUCCUGGUGCUCAGCUCAGCAAGAAGGACCAAAUCCAGGAUGAUUGGUGCAGCCAAAAGAGAGUCCUCACAUGUGUUGUGCAGGACUAUGGUGUUUUUGCCACCCAUGAAAAUCUCUGAAGUAUACUCAUCCAUAGCUCUCUUACUAUCCCCCACAUAUGGCACAUACUGCAAGGGCAAAUGCUCAAAAUCACUAAAGCUUUCACUAAUUAAAGAUAAAUAUUGGCAAGCUAAAGAAAUGCGAGAGCAAAAUUACCUUAAUGACCACAACAUGGUCAGGAUGUUCACCAGGUUCAUACAAGAUGCCAUUACUAGAUACCAUGUCAUCAACAACAUUGCUUUUGGAGAUUUCCUUUGAACGGAAAGUUUGUGGUGCUGAGAGAUUCAUUCCGUCAUUGUUUCCCAGAUGGUUGU
rnacentral:lncRNA from 1 species